rnacentral:rRNA from 1 species
GACGAACGCUGGCGGCGUGCUUAACACAUGCAAGUCGAACGAUGACGACCGAGCUUGCUCGGUCUGAUUAGUGGCGAACGGGUGAGUAACACGUGAGCAACCUGCCCUUCACUCUGGGAUAACCUCGGGAAAUCGGGGCUAAUACCGGAUAUGAGCUCCUGUCGCAUGGCGGGUGUUGGAAAGUUUUUCGGUGAAGGAUGGGCACGCGGCCUAUCAGUUUGUUGGUGAGGUAGUGGCUCACCAAGGCGAUGACGGGUAGCCGGCCUGAGAGGGCGACCGGCCACACUGGGACUGAGCUACGGCCCAGACUACUACGGGAGGCAGCAGUGCGGAAUAUUGCACAAUGGGAGAAAGCCUGAUGCAGCGACGCAGCGUGAGGGAUGACGGCCUUCGGGUUGUAAACCUCUUUCAGCAGGGAAGAAGCGAAAGUGACGGUACCUGCAGAAGAAGCGCCGGCUAACUACGUG